rnacentral:lncRNA from 1 species
AAAAGUUGGUUUAUUGGGUUGCGUAUAGGCUAUGUAUAUGGUUAUUCAUUAGGGGUCAGUUGAGAUGUCUGUGGAGAAAAGUGGGUCAGUUGUACAAAGGAAUGUUUUGUAAGGAUAUGCAUGAGGUAUGCAAUAUGUUAUGUAUGCAAUGUAUGAUCGAUCUCUUUUUCUCGUCUUUCUCUAUAUUUUUCAUUUUUUUUCAUUCUUUUCCUUUUUUUAAUUCUUUUCUUUUUUUCAUUCUUACCUCCACUAACAAGUUCUUGGCGUAUAACCAAAUAUGCAUGAUCUCCUCGUACCACAGGUAGCAAC